GAAGGUGGCCCUGGUGGGAGGGGAGAGGAAGGAGCAAGUUAGAGUGAGGGGCAGCUCUGCAGACUUUGCAGUUACGCAGCAGACGGUGCAGACGGACACCGGCGGACAGUCCCUCGCUGGCCAGCGCGGUGACCCCCACGCCAGAGGCCAAAGUGAAUCCCAGCAGACCUGCCCCACCUCCCCCCGGGAUUGAUGCAUCGUGGUUCCAGGGUGCUGCGGAACGUCGUCCGACUGGAGAGACUGCGUCAUCACCUGCUGGCAAUGGAGGGCAGCACUGCGGCCGCUGACACCUUGGGAGACCGGGAACGCCGCACCGUCACAGCCGGGAUCAUCAUCAUUGGAGAUGAGAUCUUAAAGGGCUACACCCAGGACACCAACUCGUUCUUCCUCUGCCGGAGGUUACGGUCGCUAGGGGUGAAGGUGGAACGGGUAUCGGUGGUGCCCGAUGAGGUGGAGUCCAUCGCUGGCGAGGUGUCUGCCUUCUCUGGCCGCUUCCGCUACGUGCUGACCUCGGGCGGCAUUGGGCCCACCCACGACGACGUCACCUUUGAGGGGGUGGCCCGAGCCUUCGGCGAGACCACCUACCCCCACCCGGAGCUGGUGGCCCUGGUGAGGCGGCUGUCCGGCGAGGACGAGGAGGGGGGCGCAGAGACGGAAAGCGCGGCGCCCCGGAUGAAGCUGGCCCUUGUCCCCCGCUCCUCCCGGCUCCACUACGGCGCAGACCGCUCGACGGGAGCCCCCCUCCGCUACCCGCUGGUCAGCGUGCGCAACGUCUACCUCUUUCCCGGCGUGCCCGAGCUGCUGGAGCGAGCCAUGGGUGGCCUGGAGGACCUGUUCCGUAACCACGCGCUGCGGUACGCCACCCGGGAGCUCUUCGUGGACGCCGAGGAGACCCGGAUCGCACCCGUGCUGCAGGAGGCGCACCAGCAAUUUGGCCACCAGGUCGGGCUGGGCUCCUACCCCGCCUGGGGCAGCAACUUCUACCGGGUGAAGGUGACCCUGGACUCGGACCGUGAGGAGCCACUGGAGGAGGCGCAUCGCUUCCUGGCCGCGCACCUGCCCCCUGGCUCCAUCGUCCCCCUGGAGAAGGACCCCGUGGCCGUGUCGGCUCACAACGUCUAUCAGCUGGCUCAGUCAGAAUCGCGGCUCGGACGGAAGGUGUCAGCGGCACUGAGGACACUGGAGAAUGCCUUAGCCCAGUACAGUCUGUCCGAGCUCUGUGUGGGAUUUAACGGCGGAAAGGACUGCACGGUACUUGUGCAUCUGUUUCACGCAGCUGUCAGCAGGGCGGGGACCGGGUGCAAGCACCAGCUGCAGGCUCUCUACAUCCGGAUAGUGUCACCCUUCCCAGAGCUGGAGCAGUUCAUUCAGGACACCUGCAAGAGGUACAACCUGCAGCUCUUCACCGUGUGCGGAAACAUCAAGGAGGCGCUGACGGACUUGAAGGCGCGCCACCCUCACAUCAAGGCCGUCCUGAUGGGCACCCGGCGCGCUGACCCCUACUCCCGGACCCUGAAUUCUAUGUGUCCGACUGACCCAGGCUGGCCUGAGUACAUGAGGGUGAACCCGCUGCUGGACUGGAGUUACCACGACAUCUGGGAGUUCCUACGCACCCUCUACAUCCCGUACUGCAUCCUCUACGACAAAGGGUACACCUCCCUGGGCAGCAUGGACAACACCGGCAAGAACCCCAACCUGCGCUACGUGACGGGGCUGGGCCAGGAGCGCUACCGUCCUGCGUACCAGCUGGAGAAGGAGACCGAGGAGCGAAUGUCGCGAACGUAACUCAAUGCAGAUCCUCACUGGGUGGUCGCUGUCCUCCACGUUGGAUUUCCCACCGGCUCCCCUCCCUCACACCUCCUCCUCUCCGCCCUCUAACUCUGCCCCUUCCCUCCUCCCUCACCUCCAACUCUUUCUCCUCCAAAUCUGCCCCUUCCCUCCUCCCUCACCUCCACCUCCUCACAUCUUCCUCUUCCUCCUCCAACUCUGCCCUUUCCCUCCUCCCACACUCUUCCACCUCCACCUCUUCCCCUCCAAAUCUGCCCCUUCUCUCCUCCUUCACCUCCCCUCCCUACCUCCUCCUCUCCACCCUCCAACUCUGCCCUUUCGCUCCUCCCUCACCUCCACCUCCCCACCUCCUCCUCUCCACCCUCCAACUCUGCCCUUUCGCUCCUCCCUCACCUCCACCUCCCCACCUCCUCCUCUCCACCCUCCAAAUCUGCCCCUUCCCUCCUCCCUCACCUCCUCUUCCCCUCCAACUCUGCCCUUUCCCUCCUCCCUCACCUCCACCUCCCCACCUCCUCCUCUCCACCCUCCAACUCUGCCCUUUCCCUCCUCCCUCACCUCCUCCUCUCCACCCUCCAAAUCUGCCCCUUCCCUCCUCCCUCACCUCCACCUCCUCACCUCCUCCUCUUCCCCUCCAACUCUGCCCCUUCCCAUCUUCCCUCACCUCCACCUCCUCUCCACCCUCCAAAUCUGCCCCUUCCCUCCUCCCACACACCUCCACCUCCUCCUCUCCCCCUCCAACUCUUCCCCUCACCUCCUCCUCUUUCCCCUCCAAUUCUGCCCCUUCCUUCCUCCCUCACACCUCCAUCUCCUCUCUUCCUCAUCUUCUCCCUCCAACACUGCCCAUUCCCUCCCCUUCCUUUUCCUCACCUCUCACUCACUGCUCUCACUACCUUCCCCUCCCUUUGCCUUACCUUUGCUCUCCCUGGCCCCCACCUCGUCUUCCUCCAUGCUUACUCCCCUCUCCCCUCUCUCCCAGGUUUCCGCUGUCUCCCCCUCACUCGUCACGCAACCUCCCUUCCCCAUUCCGUGUUCAAGGGGAUACUGACUAAACCCAAUAACCCUGCCCCAACAUUUGCAGCUUGGGGUCUGGCAAUGUCCCACACUGGAGCCCCAUGCCAUGGGGAGAUGGGAUGCUGGGUGACUUGGGGCUGUUGAACUGUAGUGGGCAUCACCUCAGGCCAUUCCUGGCCCAGACAGGACACUACAGCACAGGCCCUUUGGCCCAUCUAGUCCUUGCUAAACCAGUGAUCUGCCAAGUCCCAUCAACCUGCCCUCCAAACCCCUCUCAUCCAUACACUGAUCCAAAUUUCUCUUAAAUGUUGAAAUUGACGCCGUAUCCACCGCCUGUGCUGGCAGCUCAUUCCACACUCUGAGUGAAGAAAUUCCCUUUCAUUUUCCCCUUAAGCACUUCACCUUUCACCCUUAGCCUAUGAUCCCUUAUUGUAGUCUCACCCAACCUCUGUGGAAAAAUCCUGCUUUCAUUUACCCUAUCUAUACCCCUUAUAAUUUUGUGUCUCAAAUCUCCCCUCAAUCUUCUACGUUCCAGGGAAUAAAGUCUUAACCUUUUCAAUCUUUCCCUAAAAUCGACGCUCUCAAGUCCUUGUAAGUUUUCUCUGUACUCUUUCAAACUUACUUGCAUCUUUCCUGUACGUAGGUGACCAAAACAGCACACAAUACUCCAAAUUAAACCUCAUCGAUUUCUACAUAACAUCCCAAUUUCUGUACUCAAUACAUUUUUGAAGGCCAAUGUGCCAAAAGCUUUCGUUACGACCCUAUCCGCCUGUGGUGCUAUUUUCAAGGAAUAAUAGAUCUGUAUUCCCAGAUCUCUCUGUUCCAUCACACUCCGCAGUGCCCUACCACUCCUCCCAAAGUGCAACACCCCAAACCUGUCUGCAUCCAAUUCCAUCUGCCAUUUUUCCAGAUCCCACUGCGAGCUUUGAUAAUCUUCCUCACUAUCUAUCAACUAUCUAUUAUUAUCCAGAUCGUUGACGUAGAUGUCAAACAACAAUGGACCCAGCACCGAUCCCUGUGGCACACCACUAGUCACAGGCCUCCAGUGAGAGAGGCAACCAUCUGCUCUGGCUUCUUCUGUGAAGCGAAUGUUGAAUCCAAUUUACUACCUCAUCUUGAAUGCUGAACAACUGAACCUUCUUGACCAGCCUCCGACACAGGACCCUGUCACAGGCCGUGCUAAAGUCCAUGUAGACAACAUCCACUGCCUUGCCUUCAUCAGCUUCCCUGCUAAUUUCCUCAAAAAGCUCUUAAGUUUGGUCAGACAUGAUCUACCACACACAAAGCCACGUUGACUAUCCUGAGUCAGUCCCUGUCUAUCCACAUAUUUACAUAUCCAGUCCCCUGGAACACCUUCCAGUAACUUUCCCACUCCUGAUGUAUGGGUUCACUGGUCUAUAUUUCUGCUAGGUUACUCAUAUAGCCUUUCCUAAACCACGCAACAACUUUAACUAUCCUCCAAUCCUCCAGCACCUCACCUGUUGCUAAGGAUGUUUUAAAUAUCUCUGCUCGGCCCUCCAAUUUCUGCACCCGCCUCCCACAGGGUCUGAGAGAACAUCUUGUCAGAACCUGGGGAUUUAUCCACCCUAAUUAGCCUCAAGACAGCAAACCCCUCCUCUUCUGUCAUCUCUACAGGAUCCAUGACUUCACUGCUGCUUUGCCUCACUUCCAUAGACUCUGUGUCCAUCUCCUGAGCAAAUACAGAUGCAAAAAAAAGCCAUUUAAGAUCUCUCACAUUCCUUUUAACUCCACAAGUAGAUUACCACUCUGAUUUUCCAAAGGACCAAUUUUGUCCCUCAUUGUCCUUUUGUUCUUAAUAUAUUUGUAGAAGCCUUCGGGAUUUUGCUUCACCUUGUCUACCAGAGCAACCUCAUGUCUUCUUUUAGCCCUUCUGAUUUCCUCCCUAAGUGUUCUCUUGCACUUGUUACACUCUUUAAGCACCUCGCGUUUUUCUACCCGCCCAGACCUGCUAUGCACCUUUUACUUCAAUAACUCUGGAAAAUCAAGGUUCCCUAAAUCUGUUGUCUUUGCCUUUUAUUCUGACAGGAACACACAAACUCUGUACUGUCAAAAAUUCACUUUUGAACUUGUCCCAAACCAGAUCCCUUCUGAUACCAUCAAGAAUGUCCUUCCUCCAAUUUAGAAUCUCAACCUGAGGACCGGACCCAUCUUUUUCCAUAAUUACCUGGAAACUAAUGGCAUUGUGGUCACUAGAUGCAGAGUGUUCCCCUACACAAAUCUCUGUCACCUGAGCUGCCUUAUUCCCAAAAGGAGAUCUAGUAUCACACACUCAAUGGUUGGGAUUUCUAUGUACUUAUUAAGGUAACUUUCCUCAACACAUUUGACAAACUCUUUCCCAUCCAGCCUUUUUUACAGUAUGGGAGUCCCGGUCAAUAUGGGGAAAGUUAAAAUCACCUGCUAUCUCAACCUUAUGUGUUUUUUUGCAACAGUCUGCGGUCUCUCUACAAAUUUGCUGUUCUAAACCCUGCGGACUGUUGGGUGGUCAAUAACACAAUCCCAUUAACGUGGUCAUACCUUCCUUCUUCCUCAGUUCUACUCUUACAGCCCCACUAGACCAGCUCUCCAGUCUGUCCUGGCUGAGCAUGUGACACUUUCCCUGACUAGUGAUGCCACCCCUCCUGCUCUGUCACGUCUAAAACCACAGAACCCCGGAAUAUUGAGCUGCCAGUCCUGUCCCUCCUGCAACCAAGUCUCUCGAAUGGCUACAAUGUCAUAAUUCCAUGUCCAGACUCUGGGCAGGUCAAUCUGAGACCCCGGGGAUCCUCAGCCUGGGGUUCCAAUUCUGGGGCCAGGGAGAAAUGUAGACACUCCCUCAUGGCUGGAGAAAGCAAGGAGGAACUUGAGGUUACUCUCUUCCCGACUCUGGGCAAAUCCCCUCACUGCCCCUCGAGAGGGUGGGGUCUCACCCCCAGUUUGAACCACUGCAGUCCGUGUAGGGAGGGGGCUGCCGGGAGGGAGUUCCAAGUUCCCGAUCUGACGACGGUGAAGGAACUGCUGAUACGAUGCCGAGUCGGGAUGGCAGAGGACGAUCCUGCAGAUGGUGGUGUUUCCCUCAGCAGGAAAUAUGGCUGGUUCAGGAGAGACAAGUGACCGUGUGUUUUGUAGGGGUCAUCUGGGGUCGGGGGGGGGAGGAGGGUGGUGGUUGGCCCAGGAGGUGUCAAACCUCUGAGAGCCACACACACCCAGGAAGUGGAGAGUGUCCUGUCACACUCCUCACCGAUGCCUUAUAAACAGGGGAAAGACCCUUGGGCCUCAGGAGGUGAAUCACUCACCCAGGGACAACACACGUGGUAAGUCCUUUGAUAUUAGGAGGGGAGCCCCAGGAAUUUAAUGGUUAAUGUCAAAAAUUCACUCAUUAAUUCCCAAAUUCUAUUGAAAAUCCCUGUGAACAUAAGAAGAACCAACUUUAGCAGAGGUGGUUCGACUAGUGGUAUAGUUUGUCUAUGUUAUGUGCGCUCAGUGGCCACUUUAUUAGGUACACCUGCUCGUUAAUGCAAAUAUCAAAUCAACCAAUCAUGUGGCAGUAACUCAAUGCAUGAAAGCAUGCAGACACGGUCAAGAGGUUCAGAUGUCGAUCAGACCAAACAUCAGAGCGGAGAAGAAAUGUGAUCUAUGUGGCUUUGACUGUGGAAUGAUUGUUGGUGCCAGAUGGGAUGGUUUGAGUAUCUCAGAAGCUGCUGAUCUCCUGGGAUUUUCACACACAAAGUGUCUACAGUUUACAGAGAAUGAUGCGAAAAACAGCAAAAGAAAACAUCCGGUGAGUGGCAAUUCUGUGGGUGAAAACAAGUUGUUAGUGAGAGGUCAGACUGGUUCAAGCUGACAGGAAGGCGACAGUAACUCAGAUAACCACAGGUUAUGACAGUGGUGUGUAGAAGAGCAUCUCUGAAUGCACAACAUGUUGAACAUUGAUGUGGAUGGACGACAACACAGAAGACCACACCGGAUUUCUCUCCUGUGCCAAAUAAAGUGGCCAUUGAAUGUAUGUCCAGAAGCUGGCUGCAGUCAGGAAAGCCCGGCAGGCCCAACCCUUCCACAUCUGAUUCUUGACCGGGAGCUGGGGAGCUGAGGAGCCGGAGCAGGGACCCGGGCGCCACCCUUCGACAGCCUGCUGUCAGAGAG